rnacentral:piRNA from 1 species
UAAAAGGGUAUAAAAAGCGAAGAUGAAAGGC